UACGUAGGGUGCAAGCGUUAAUCGGAAUUACUGGGCGUAAAGCGUGCGCAGGCGGUUAUGUAAGACAGGUGUGAAAUCCCCCGGGCUUAACCUGGGAACUGCAUUUGUGACUGCAUAGCUAGAGUACGGUAGAGGGGGAUGGAAUUCCGCGUGUAGCAGUGAAAUGCGUAGAUAUGCGGAGGAACACCGAUGGCGAAGGCAAUCCCCUGGACCUGUACUGACGCUCAUGCACGAAAGCGUGGGGAGCAAA
rnacentral:rRNA from 1 species